CCCUCUCUCUCAUUCAAUGCCAAUCUCCUCUUAUUUUGUGUGACAAAAGCCCUCUCCCAGGUCUCUCCCACGUUCACAAAAGGUUUUCUCUCUUCUUUCUUACAUGGAAGGUGGUUUGGAUCAAAUCAAAGAGGAAUUAGUUUGGAUUUUGAAUUCUAUGAGAUAGAGUUUUAGAAAUCCAAAACUCUUUCAAUUUUGCACCAAAUUUAUCCAAAGUUUUUUUAGAAUUUUCAUGGCUUUUAGGGUA
rnacentral:lncRNA from 1 species